CGGGAAUCCUGGGGCCCGCCCCGCCCCCGGCCCCGCGCCCGCCAAUGAGCUCGGCCCGCAGGGGCAGCGCCGGCCAAUCACGUGCCGGAGUGCCCGCCAGGCCCCGAGCGGGCAGCCAAUAGGAGGCUACUUCGGCGCACGCCCGCCCCGAUCCUUCGGGAGCCAACGGCCGGGAGCCGCGCGCUGCCGGCCCCGCGGGGCGAGGGCAGCCGAGCCGGGCCGGGCCGGGCCGGGGGCCGGAGUCGGCGGGGGUCGGGCGGCAGCUCGGCGCGGGGACGCCGGGGGGCGGGCGGAGGCGGCAGCGCGGCACGGCCACCGCCGGGCGCCUCGCCCUCCGCGCGCUUGGACUCGGCCCGGGAAAGUUCCCGCAGGACGGGGCGCGGGCUGCGCGCACGUGGGCGCCGCUGCAGGGACGCCCCGCGGGCGUCGGCGCCCAGGUGCCGCACCUGCCUGCCCGGGGCGCGCCCGCCGACGCGCGUCUCCGCCCUUGCCAGCCGCCGGAGCCCGGGCGUCCGGAAACCGCUUCCUUCUGUCCCGCCCCAGGACGCAGGCCGUCUUGCCACCCAAAACUUUUCUUUCUGGAAGGAAGGAAGUUGCAUUCAAGUGCUGUCACCUUAAGAUUACUUCAUCAGUGAGUAUAACAAAUAACUGGAUUCACUUCUUCUGGAUUCUCACUAUUGAUAUGCCUCUGGAAUUUCUGCGUGUUUUGGACAAAUCAAUGUUUCAGGUGGCGUUUGUCCAAAGUUGUCUGAAAAUAAAUACAGCAAUACGAGUUGGAUUUUCAUUCACUUCUUUUCAUUCGGAAAGAGCCUUGCCGCAUGUCCCCACGGUGGAUCCUCGUAACGUUCCCUCCAGAUGAGAAAAAUGACGAUAAGAAUCCUUCCUAAGACCUUAGAGCAAGUGGAUUUGGGGCCAAGUGACACCCAGUGCUGAGGCCAGCGCUCACACUUUCUCCACCAGGCCGUUCUCCCCCAGAGUGAGCCCAGAGAUCUUUCAACCCUGCUUUAUAAGCCAGGCUCGUACGUUUAGCCAACUAAUUCUUGGUGGAUGAAACAGUGCUCAGUUCACAUGGGAGAAAUUAGCAAACCACUUGCCAAAAGGGCAAAUUCAAGAGAAAAUAAUAGUGCUAACGGGGACGUGCUUCUUGAGAUUAGUUCAGAAGUGCUCUGAGACGCCCUCCACAUUCCUUCGUUCAUCUCACUCCCCUGGGAUGUGCCCAGCGCCCCUAACCUUGGCUUCCGUGGCCUCCUCAGUGGCCCCCACAGCGGGAAAUGUUAUGGAAGAGGGCCGAGCGUGAGCACAGCCAGCUGGCAGCAGGAAACUCCAGGCACAGUGUGCGUCCCCUGUGAGCUUCCAUUGCAGUUGUUCUUUGGCACAGACAAGUCAAAAGCUCAGCUGGCUGUCUGCUUCUUGAGGGAUGACAGCUCUGCAAUGUUCCAAAUGUCCAAACACAACCAACCAGACUAGUCUUCGCGGACUUUGAGCAAGCUUAGUGAGUGAAAAAUGUAAGCCGUGCUUGGGUCAUAGGUUGCUGAGAAAUAAAAUCACUAGAAUCGGCCAGAACAAUCUUCUUUUUCUAUGGCUUUGGGUCUCCCUUGGGCCCAAGGGCUGAGGGACAAGGCCCUCAGCGCAGCCGUGUUGUCUUACAACCAUGCUCAGAAGGGCUCUGCGGCUCUGGGCUCAGAGAUGAAGUCAGGGCGGUCACCUGGCAUCUGAGACGCUUCAGGUUCGGGCUACAUCUCUUCCAGCCUCGUACCUCACACAUGCCAGUCUGCGCUUCAGACGCUGCUCAGCUGGCACAGCCACUCCAUUGUCUGACGGGACGUGCAUCCUGAUUGGUUGGCGUUCAUGCUUUGAUGGGCCUUAAGUCUUCCAAAUGUCAGCCCUUUUCCCACAUAUGCUUCAUACUUUUAAAAACGAAACCCUACUUAUUUCUUCUACUAGCCUGUAUGCUUCUUAAGAUCAUGAUUCUUUCUUAUUCCAUUUUGUAUUUGCCAUAAUGGCCAGCACUUUCUGGGCCCAUAGUAAAUACUAACUAAAUGUGUGGUAUGAAUCAAAGACUGAUAAGUACUGGGAGAAUAUACCUCUGUGCUUCUUAUCUUUCCCUGAGAAGGGAAAACAGUCAUG
ensembl:lncRNA